UACGAAGGGGGCGAGCGUUGUUCGGAUUUACUGGGCGUAAAGGGCGCGCAGGCGGUUCUGUUUGUCGAGUGUGAAAGCCCCGGGCUCAACCUGGGAACUGCGCUCGAAACGGCGGAACUAGAGUUCGGGAGAGGAGAGUGGAAUUCCCAGUGUAGAGGUGAAAUUCGUAGAUAUUGGGAAGAACACCGGUGGCGAAGGCGGCUCUCUGGACCGAUACUGACGCUGAGGCGCGAAAGUGUGGGGAGCAAACAGG
rnacentral:rRNA from 1 species